rnacentral:rRNA from 1 species
UCGAGAAUUUUUCUCAAUGGGGGAAACCCUGAAGGAGCGACGCCGCGUGGGGGAUGAAUGGCUUCGGCCCGUAAACCCCUGUCAUUUGCGAUCAAACCUCACGACCUAACACGUCGUGAGCUGAUAGUAGCGGAAGAGGAAGGGACGGCUAACUCUGUGCCAGCAGCCGCGGUAAUACAGAGGUCCCAAGCGUUGUUCGGAUUCACUGGGCGUAGAGGGUGCGUAGGCGGUCGGGUAAGUCUGACGUGAGAUCUUCAAGCUCAACUUGGAAACUGCGUCGGAUACUAUUCGGCUAGAGGAAUGGAGGGGAGACUGGAAUACUUGGUGUAGCAGUGAAAUGCGUAGAUAUCAAGUGGAACACCAGUGGCGAAGGCGAGUCUCUGGACAUUUCCUGACGCUGAGGCACGAAAGCCAGGGGAGCAAACGGGAUUAGAUACCCCGGUAGUCCUGGCCCUAAACGGUGCACGUUUGCUGUAAGAGGAAUCGA